AGCGGCAGACGGGUGAGUAACGCGUGGGAACGUACCUUUUGGUUCGGUACAACACAGGGAAACUUGUGCUAAUACCGGAUAAGCCCUUUCGGGAAAAAAUUUUUCGCCAAAAAAUCGGCCCGCGUCUGAUUAGCUAGUUGGUGAGGUAACGGCUCACCAAGGCGACGAUCAGUAGCUGGUCUGAGAGGAUGAUCAGCCACAUUGGGACUGAGACACGGCCCAAACUCCUACGGGAGGCAGCAGUGGGGAAUAUUGGACAAUGGGCGCAAGCCUGAUCCAGCCAUGCCGCGUGAGUGAUGAAGGCCCUAGGGUUGUAAAGCUCUUUUGUGCGGGAAGAUAAUGACGGUACCGCAAGAAUAAGCCCCGGCUAACUUCGUGCCAGCAGCCGCGGUAAUACGAAGGGGGCUAGCGUUGCUCGGAAUCACUGGGCGUAAAGGGUGCGUAGGCGGGUCUUUAAGUCAGGGGUGAAAUCCUGGAGCUCAACUCCAGAACUGCCUUUGA
rnacentral:rRNA from 1 species